rnacentral:rRNA from 1 species
AUUGAACGCUGGCGGCAGGCCUAACACAUGCAAGUCGAACGAGUGGCGGACGGGUGAGUAAUGUCUGGGAAACUGCCCGAUGGAGGGGGAUAACUACUGGAAACGGUAGCUAAUACCGCAUACCAUCGGAUGUGCCCAGAUGGGAUUAGCUAGUAGGGUGGGUAAUGGCUCACCUAGGCGGCGAUCCCGAGCUGGUCUGAGAGGAUGACCAGCCAGACGUGAACUGAGACACGGUCCAUACUCCUACGGGAGGCAGCAGUGGUGAAUAUUGCACAAUGGGCGCAAGCCUGAUGCAGCCAUGCCGCGUGUAUGAAGAAGGCCUUCGGGUUGUAAAGUACUUUCAGCGAGGAGGGGUUACUCGCAGAAGAAGCACCGGCUAACUCCGUGCCAGCAGCCGCGGUAAUAC